rnacentral:rRNA from 1 species
AGUGAGCGCUGGCGGCGUGCUUAACACAUGCAAGUCGAACGAGAACGGAUUAUAGCUUGCUAUAAUUGUCAGCUAAGUGGCGCACGGGUGAGUAAUGUAUAGGUAAUAUGCCUCUUACUAAGGGAUAACAAAUGGAAACGUUUGCUAAUACCUUAUACUCCUUAUUAACAGAAGUUAAUAAGGGAAAGAUUUAUUGGUAAGAGAUUAGCCUGUAUUGUAUCAGUUAGUUGGUGGGGUAAUGGCUUACCAAGACUAUGACACAUAACUGGUUUGAGAGGAUGAUCAGUCACACUGGAACUGAGACACGGUCCAGACUCCUACGGGAGGCAGCAGUGGGGAAUAUUGCACAAUGGACGAAAGUCUGAUGCAGCAACGCCGCGUGGAGGAUGACACAUUUCGGUGCGUAAACUCCUUUUAUAUGAGAAGGUAAUGACGGUAUUAUAUGAAUAAGCACCGGCUAACUCCGUGCCAGCAGCCGCCGCUG